UUUAUCAAAUCAAGUGGUUGUUUGUGUCCGAAGAUCUAUCGGUAACUAUCGUUUUUACCACUUGCUUCGCAACACACGUUUUUAAUAAUCUGUUGAAGUUGAUCAGGUCGGCAGCUGUCUGAGGUUGUUUGAAGAACUCAGAAGCAAUUGAACUACUAGAUAUUUUAUGUGAUAAAACAAGACUUCACAUACAAGUACAUAAGAUGGCGACUAGAAAAGCUGUAAUUCGCUGUAAAACCUGGCCUCCAGAGAGAAAGGAAGAGGUUUCGUUAGACAAAGAUUCCAACAUGACUGAUGCAAUAAGGGAAACUCUGAAGGCUAUAGAUUUAGAAGAUUUCAUCAUCAGUGAUAAAUCCAUAAAAACCAUUCAGCUGGUUGCUGAAUUGCCCCAACAAAUGCCAACUGUCCUUGAAGGCGCUGGUGCCCAAAUGAGACCAACAAGAUGCCAAGAAUCACUGGACGCUAUUGGUGGAAGACCAGUAGUGGAUUAUUUAGGCCGUCGGUGGUUAAUUUUCAUCCGAAAAGAGGGCAAAGAUCAAGCAACAGAUUAUUUAGUUUCAUUUAAUUAGAAUAAUUUUGGCAUGAUCUGUCAAAUUCGUUUUAAACACAAAUACUCGCAAGAACUUUUAAAAUAUUUGCUUUUAGGCUAGGUGCUUUGCCACUAUUUGCACUGAACAGUCUUCUGAUCACCUCACACCUGUUUUGUCCAUCUGCAAUUUCUUAUUUUUGAAUUUCUUUCAAGAUCCUUUAGGCCAAAAGUUGUCAAAAUCCAUCAUAACUGGAUAAAGGAUUUUUUUCUUUAAUGAAAGGCCAAUUUUAAUCCAUUUUCUUAAAACAGAUAACCAGCAAAAAAUUAAAAAAAAAAAAAAACACUGUAGAGCCGUUAAAAUUAAAAAUGAUUUAAGUCUCUGCUAUAACAAUAUUUAAUUGACCACCGUCAUCACGCAUCCAUCUCUGCUGGGGUUUUCUUUUUUUAUAAUUCUUUAUUUUUGUUUUAAACAUUCUGUUAUUUAAUACAAUAAAUGAUUAAUAACAAAUACAGAAGGUGUAAUUUUUUUCAUUUUAGCAAGAGAGAGAAAGAGAAAGGGGGAAGAAGAGAGGAGAGAAAGAUAGGGAGGGGGAGAAGAGAUAGAGGAGUGCAUGCAUUCACAAUAUUUAUAUCGAUCUAAAUAUUCACUGAAAUAAAAGCUUCCAGUAGUUCCAGCAGGUAUCAAACAUAUCCUUUUCACCAUUUUUGUAUGCAAUAUAUUUUUGAGUUUCAUAAAAUGUAUUCAUAAGCGAUAUCGCAGCAGGUACAUUAAGUGUUUUCCCUGUGCACCUCAUUGUGUAGAUAUAAUAUUUAAGCCAUAGAAUGAGAUUAUUUUGUAUCUUUUUCCUUUUAUCUAAGAAUCCAAAAAUGAAAUUAUAUUUUGUUUCCGAUAUCUGAAGAUUUGUUUUAUUUUCAAGGUAAUUUUCAAAUUCUCUUAAAAAAUCUUGUACAUGAUCACACUCCCAAAGCAAAUGUUCAAUUGUUUCUUCUUCCACUUGACAGAAGGUACAGUUUUUGUUAUCUAUGAUUUUGAUUUUGAAUAAAUACGAGUUUGAGGCCAAAAUUUUGUUUAAAAUUCGAUACUGGAACCAUUGCAGUUUGCAGUUGUUUGUAACUUUAAAAGGCAAUUUAAAAAUCAAUUUCCAUUCUUUGUCGUUCAGUUCAAAUAUUUCAUUCCACUUUCUUUUACCAGUAGGUUCUGUGCUAUUUUGGUUGAGAAGAUUAUAAAAUUGCCUUGAUUUUUUGCAUUCUAAAAGGGUAUUUAUAUUUGACAAAACCAGAGGGUUUUGUGACUUAGUGACAUUUCCAUCAAAAUUCGCUUUCUUCAUCCAUGCUUUAAGAGCACUUAUAAUACUCAUGUACUCUAAAAAAUUAAUUUUAACUUGUGGAUAUAUAUCACAAACAGAUUCAUAAGUCAAGAA